GAUCAGAGACACCCGGGUUCACGUCCAGGCUCUAGCACUAUUGUGAAAACUUGGACUAACCUAAGCUCAGGUGGUGGUUUCCUCCACCUUAACGUGGGAGCCACAAGAGCACCGACCUCAUGGAGUGUGUGUGGCUAUUCAGUGAGGGAACACAUAAGGAGCCCUGCCUGUCAUAGAUACUUGAUCAAUAUUAGCUCUUAUCAAUUAGCAAACACACAUGUUUCUGACCUCCCAAAUUUCCAGAACACUUCUUCCCAUGUUUUCUUCUGUGUUUGGUUUUAUUGCUCCUAUAACUCCUCAGAUGGCAGUCUCCCUGACUGAUUAUCUUCUUCUUGUGGCCCAGCAGGACGACAGGACCCCGACUUGGCUUGGGAGUGAGCUGGAGUGAGGGGUGAAGCAACACCGCCUUCUAGCCGGGACGCAGAUGCGAGCUGUUGCGAAAACGUUCAGAUCCCACUGCUGGCACCAUGUCCUCAGGAGCCCGUGAGCUCUGCCCAGAGAGCAAAAGCCUUCUGGAGGAUAUCAUUGAGUCUGUCCAGAACACAGUGAGCUUCGAGGAACUGCACUUCCUGCUGACUGACCAUGAAGCCUGGGAGGCAUUCUUGACUGAGGCCACGUUGUCCAGG